ACACUACGUGCCGCAUCAUAUUUUUACAUUUCGAUCAUCACAAUGAUUUAAGCAAUAGCCCAUCAGCUCUUCUGGGGCAUGGCAGCCGACCUUGAGGAGCUCAAGGCAACGAUCUCCUGCCUGUUGUACUUGAGGUUCCUAGCCUGCUGACGGUCCAUCUGGUAAGCGUUGGCGAGGACCACGUCGGGGAGUGAUCGCAGGACGGAGGUCCUACCAGCCAUGGUGUUGAUCAUGGCAUUGUCUUGGGUCUUAAAGGCAAUGUACUCGUAUCCAUUGCUCAUGGCCUUUUGCAACACGGCGUGGUUUUGCGGCACGAUGAAGAGCUGUCCCUGGCGGACCUGGUCGUCCAAGAUGCAGUCGCCAUUGUCGUUCACCACCUGAACCCUAGCGCUGCCCCUGAUGACGUAGUAUACUUCAUGGGCGUUCAAGUUCCAGUGUGGGCUGUAGAUAGCGUUCUGCAUUUACAACGUAUCAAUCACUUUUAAUUACUUAAGCUCAAACAAUUAAUUGGUAACUAAUUAAAAUGAACUAAUAAAUGCAUGGAAAAGAAUACUGACGUUGUAGAAGAAGCCUCUCUCAGCGCUGAGACGGAGGCGCCUGAGAAUAGGCAUGGUGAAGGCGUUGAGGGUGCUGAUGCGACCGGCUUGCGGGCUGAAGACGUCGGCCAUUGUAGGCCUUCCGAUGUUUUGUCUCAUCUUCAUGUGGCAGAAGAGCUCCUCCAUGCCGUUCUCUUCAUAUUGUCCUUGUUGUCCCUGCAUUUGUGUUCCUUGGAUUUGCCUUUCCUCCCUCAUUGACUCUGGGGGCUGGAUGAAGUCGAGGCGUCCCUGUACCCUAACAAUCUGUGGCCUGUUGUCGUUCAUUCCCUGGAGCUGCUGGGCGGUCUGUUGGUCGAUGUUAAGAGCGUCGGCGAGGAGCUGUGUGUCGAAGCCGGAGAAGACGUUGUUGUAGUUCCCCUGCAUUUGGUGCCUGCUCUUUCCUUGUUGUCUCCGGAUCCGUGGGCUUUGGCCUUGUUGGGUGAACUCAUCUUGUGGGUUACCAGCAAGGUAGAAUCUCUAUAUAUAAAGAGAGAUUAAGCAGCAACAAGUCAGUGAACAUUACCCUAAACUAUUUUUGGUACAUGCAAGAAUAUAUACUGAAUGAAAUGUGGUAAGAAAUUGUACCCUUGGGAUUCGGUCCAGCUGGUUGUGCUGGUUGCUCAUGUCAAGAAGACUGACGAAAACAAGAGGUUCGUUAGCGUCGUUGUAACUCCAGCAGGUGACACCAGCAGGAAUGGCGAUAACAUCACCUUCCCUGACGCGUCGGACCUUCUGGUGACGGUCGAGCUGAUCAUAGCUCUCUUGCUGGCCUUGCUGGCCCAUUUGUCCCUCUCGGCGUAUAAUCUGUUGCCGGCGGCCUUGUUGGCCUUGAGAUUGUCGUUGCUCUUCAACAGAUUGUUCGGUUUCUUCGAAAGUCUCGGGACAGCCGGGGAGAACCAUUCCUAGAUGACCCAUACCUGCAAUACUCAUAGCAAUAAGUUAACAGUCCAUCGACAAACGCUAGCUAGCUACAUGCAAUUUCGGUAUAACUAAUGAAGUGAUAUGAUAUUACCUCGGACGACGUAAACGAGUCGUGGAGUGUUAACGUAAGAAGGCAGGUGGAGGCCGUUGUUCUCAAUGGUGAUCUUCUGAACGGCGACGCCAGCGCACUGGAAGUCAUCCUGGUUGUAGUCCCAGGACUCGAUCCGACCUGCUUCAGUCUCAAUGCGGUUGUCGGGCUCGCGGGCUUGGAUCCGGUUCAGCAUGCACUCAUUUUGCUGGCUGAACUGAGUUUGUCGCCGACUGGCUAAGCAGCCGUGGAAGAGAACAAGUAAGCAAAGAGAGAAAGCGAGAGCUAAGUGCUUGGCCAUUGUGAUGAUCAAUGGCAGAUAGCUAGUUGUGGGUUGUGAUGAUGAAGUGGAGAGUAGAGCGUUGGUAUUUAUAGGAGAUGAGAGGAGGUGAGGGUGAGAAUAGUGCAAAUGAUGUGUAAGGAAUCUCAUGCCAUUCUUCUCUUUGCAUGGCUAUUAGUAUUUCACAUUCUUACACCUCAUUUCUCUUCCAGGGCAGGUGGCUCUUGGCUUCAGAGAAGGUUUAAAGUUAUAAGAACAAGGUGGCAACCAGGUGGGGUGGCCAUGAUUGUUUGCAAGUGAAGCAAAUUUCACCUCCCCGAACCUCGUGCAAUGCAUGAACUCGAAUAAUUAACUCAUGAAUCAGAUCUGAAACUGUUUCAUGUUCGUGAAGAAAUAUUACAUCAGUACCAUCCCGAACUAUCUAUAAUUUACGGAGGUGAAACAUAAGAUGAUAAGAACUUUAUCAUCUUCCAAAUAGUAAUAUCCAUAUUCCUUUACUCCCUUUGUAUGUAAUUCAAAUGUAGUAUUUAAGACUUUUUGAACAUUUUUCAAGAAUGAUCUCUGGACUCGGCGCGCUCUUAUGUAUAAGAGUUCCUUUACCUGCUAAUAAAUCUAAAUAACUUAUAUAUAUAUAUAAACGGAUUUUCUCAGCUGCGGACGUCCGCACCAAUUUUUUGGUGCGGAUUUCUAUUUUUUCAUCACUUUUCGAUCGAAUUUCCUCAUCUCCACCGUCUAGUAUCUAGAUAAUAUUGUGUAGAUCAUCUCUGCAANNNNNNNNNNNNNNNNNNNNNNNNNNNNNNNNNNNNNNNNNNNNNNNNNNNNNNNNNNNNNNNNNNNNNNNNNNNNNNNNNNNNNNNNNNNNNNNNNNNNNNNNNNNNNNNNNNNNNNNNNNNNNNNNNNNNNNNNNNNNNNNNNNNNNNNNNNNNNNNNNNNNNNNNNNNNNNNNNNNNNNNNNNNNNNNNNNNNNNNNNNNNNNNNNNNNNNNNNNNNNNNNNNNNNNNNNNNNNNNNNNNNNNNNNNNNNNNNNNNNNNNNNNNNNNNNNNNNNNNNNNNNNNNNNNNNNNNNNNNNNNNNNNNNNNNNNNNNNNNNNNNNNNNNNNNNNNNNNNNNNNNNNNNNNNNNNNNNNNNNNNNNNNNNNNNNNNNNNNNNNNNNNNNNNNNNNNNNNNNNNNNNNNNNNNNNNNNNNNNNNNNNNNNNNNNNNNNNNNNNNNNNNNNNNNNNNNNNNNNNNNNNNNNNNNNNNNNNNNNNNNNNNNNNNNNNNNNNNNNNNNNNNNNNNNNNNNNNNNNNNNNNNNNNNNNNNNNNNNNNNNNNNNNNNNNNNNNNNNNNNNNNNNNNNNNNNNNNNNNNNNNNNNNNNNNNNNNNNNNNNNNNNNNNNNNNNNNNNNNNNNNNNNNNNNNNNNNNNNNNNNNNNNNNNNNNNNNNNNNNNNNNNNNNNNNNNNNNNNNNNNNNNNNNNNNNNNNNNNNNNNNNNNNNNNNNNNNNNNNNNNNNNNNNNNNNNNNNNNNNNNNNNNNNNNNNNNUAUAUAUAUAUAUAUAUAUAUAUAUAUAUAUAUAUAUAUAUAUAGGUUUCAACCGCAAGAGGUUAGUUCAGCACUAGUAAAUAUAUAAUUACAUGGCACAUGGAAGUGAUGGAACAAAGAAGUGAUACGCAAAUCAUCAAACUAUCACAUACGGCCUGAAACUUUGUGCUAAUACGUACAUAUGCCCUUCAAAUAUCCCUUAAACUUGUCAUAUUGUCAUAUAUAUUGACAUGCAUUUCAUUUGCAUCAAUGCAGAAUCAAACCCUUCGUAUAAAAUAAAAAUAAAAAUGCAGAAUCAAACCCUGACGUUAAUACAAGGAUAUUAGUUCCUAUGUCACUAACCGAUCGAUUUGGUGCAUCAAGUGCUCACCCAUGUACAAUCCCAAACAUAUGAUUCAUAUGAUAUGAAAUAGGCCAUCACAACCGAGAACUCACCGCCCCUCCUCUAUUUAACCCUGAGCUUAGAUAUCAAUCAUAUGAAACGCAUUCAUUUCCACAAGUGAAUUAAAAACCUCUGAAGGCUUAAUUAGCCGUUUAGGGUUCAUAUAUGGAUCUCUCAGUAAUUUGAAUUUGGCCACUUAUUCGAUCUUGUCAAACGAAGGACGCAAGGCAAUCUUUAGCUACUAGUUGUCCUUAGCGAUGAUCAUUAAGCACGUACGUACAGUUUCUAUAAUAAACUUUCUUAUUUCUUUCUAUUACAAUGGUUUGAAGCUUUUCUGUGCUAAUUGAUUCGUAAAGCUCGAGAGUACGUAGCUAUAUAUAUCCCAAUCAUUAAGGACCCUAUUAAUCAAAGUGAACAAUUAGCUUCAGGAUAACUGAGUAGGAAUAAUGGAGUAGCACCGGGAAAUAAGUCGGAAAAUACGUUCGUCCGGACUAAGUACGUAUGUGUGCGUCCGGACUCUCUUUUAUUUACUUUCUUUUGUCAAUGCAAAUCAUAAUCUUAACCGUUCAAAAGUUGAAUUAACCUAUAUAGAUCAUCUCUACAAAAUUUCAAUGUAAACAAACAUCGUUUUCUUAGUCGAUUACAUUAAACAAAUUGACAGUUCUAGUGAAAGUUAACAGUCUCAUGAUCAGUCGUCCAUUUGUUUGAUACAUUCGGCUUAGAAAACAAUGUUUGUUUACAUUGAAAUUUUGCAGAGGUGAUCUCCAUAUAUAGGUACGUAAAUAAGAAAGAGUUCAGACGCACACGUACAAACUAGUCCGAACGCAAAUAUUUUCCAAAUAAACUAGUCCGAACGCAAGUAUUUUCCAAAUAAGUUAAAUGACAAAAGCCAAAGUUUACAAGUACAUAAGAUUAGACCGAGUGUAAUGAUAAAAUGCGUGCACCAAAUCGGAAAUUGAGACUGAGAAUAAGAUUAAACACUCUGUAGUGUGUACUUACGUAGAGUUUAUCUAUCAAACUUGUUGUCGAAUUUGCUUUGAGGCAAAACCACCUAGCUACUUCAAAUUGGCGUGUAAGAUGAUGCUUAUAGUUGUGGACUUGUGGGUAAUGAGUUGAGAUUAAGUUAGAGUGACUGCGAGAGCGGUAUGUUGGAGUCUUCAAAAUAUAACCCAUUUUACAUUUCUCCUAUUCUAUGAUUAUUCUUUUUUCUUAUCCUAUGUUCUAUAAGUAGAUAACACAAUUGUCAAUUCUUUUAUUUUUCUUCUCUGUUCUAAAAAAACAAAAGAAUGUCUAAAUGUUGAAUCAACCAUAUAACAAAUUAAGCAAUACACUAAAAGAAGCUGCAGCUACCAGCUUGCUUUGGUCAAUUUGUUAUAUACUAAAGAUAUACCAAUUAUUCAUCAACGUCGACUCGGGUCAACGUACCACAUAGAUAUGCAAUAUGAAAGGGAAGAGUAUAUCAUCAAGGCAAACCAAAAAAGUGAAAACUUCAUUAGAAAGCAUAACGUUACAAGUACGUACAUAUACGUAGCAGCUAGUACUAUAACUUAGUACAUUGGAUCUCCCAUACUACAAAAGAGCCAUACAAGGCACUUUUAUUCCCUCGAACUGACGAACUCUACCCCUUAGCUAGCUUGAUGCUAAAACACUACAUGCCGCAUCACAUUUUUACAUACAUAUAUUGAUAUAUUUAAGCACUAGCCCUCUCGGACUGGAAAGAUCUUGAGGAGCUCAAGGCAACAGUCUCCUGCCUGUUGUACUUGAGGUUCCUUGCCUGCUGACGGUCCAUCUGGUAAGCAUUGGCGAGGACCACGUCGGGGAGUGCCCGGAGGACGGAGGUCCUGCCAGCCAAGGUGUUGAUUAUGGCAUUGUCUUGUGUCUUGAAGGCAAUGUACUCGUAUCCAUUGCUCAUGGCCUUUUGCAGCACGGCGUGGUUCUGCGGCACGAUGAAGAGCUGUCCCUGGCGGACCUGGUCGUCCAAGAUGGUCUCACCGUUGUCGUUCACCACCUGAACCCUAGCGCUGCCCCUGAUGACGUAGUACACUUCAUGGGCGUUCAAGUUCCAGUGUGGGCUGUAGAUAGCGUUCUGCAUGUACCACAUAAUAACCAUAAUUAAAACUGCUAAAUUAAACUCCACCAUAACUUGAUUAGACUUAGUUGAUAGACAAAUCAAUAUGCAUGCAUAUAUACUCACGUUGUAGAAGAAGCCUCUCUCAGCGCUGAGACGGAGGUGCCUGAGAACGGGCAUGCUAAGGCCAUUGAGGACGCUGAUGCGACCGGCUUGUGGGCUGAAGACGUCAGCCAUUGAAGGCUUGCCGAUGUUCUGCUUCAUCUUCAUGUGGCAGAAUACCUCCUCAAAACCAUUCUGUCCUUGUCGUCCUUGUUGUUGUCUUUCCUCCCUCAUUGACUCUGGGGGCUGGACGAAGUCGAGGCGUCCCUGAACCCUAACGAUCUGUGGCCUGUUGUCGUUCUGUCCCUGGAGCUGUUGGGCGGUCUGUUGGUCGAUGUUGAGAGCAUCGGCAAGGAGUCUGGUGUCGAAGCCGGCAAAGACGUUGUUGUUGUUGUUUCCCUGUUGUUGGUGUCUGAUCUUUCCCUGUUGUCUCGCGAUCGAAUGUCGGCUUUGGCCUUGUUGGGUGAACUCAUCUUGUGGGUUACCAGCAAGAUAGAAUCGCUGCUCAUACAGAUCAAGCAGCCAUUGAGUUAAACGAUUUUGUAACAUUGUAUCCAUAUAUAUAAUCAGGUGUCAGUAAGAAAAUCCAUAUAUAAUUAUAUAUUAUCAAAACGUUGAUAAGAAAAGGUACCCUUGGGAUUUGGUCAAGUUGGUUGUGAAGGUUGCUGGUGUCUUGAAGACAGACGAAAACAAGAGAUUGGUCACCGUCGUUGUAGGACCAGGUUGUGACUCCGGCGGGGACGGCGAUAACGUCACCUUCCUUGACGGGUCGCACUUUCUGGUGUCGGUCUAGCUGUUCGAAGCUCUCUUGUUGUCCCUGUUGGCCUUGUCGGCGUCCAAUUUGCUGGCGACCUUGUUGCCCUUGCCCUUGCUGUUGCGAGCCCUGUAGUUGUUCCUCGUAAGAUUGCUCGGUUUCUUCGAAAGUCUCGGGACAUCCGGGGAUCACCAUUCCUAGUUGACCCCUACCUGAAAUAGAUCACGUAUAAAAGACAGUAAGUUAACCUUGCUCAAGCACAACAUGCAAUUUAGUCAUAAGUUGAUCAGAAAAAGCGACGUUUAGAUAUUACCUUGGACAACGUAAAGGAGGCGAGGACUGUUGGUGUAAAAAGGCAAGUGAAGGCCGUUGCGCUCGACGGUGAUUCUCUGAACGGCGACUCCGGCGCACUGGAAGUCAUCCUGGUUGUAGUCCCAUGACUCGAUCCGACCCGCCUCGGUCUCAAUGCGGUUGUCGGGCUCGCGGGCUUGGAUCUGGUUCAGCAUGCACUCAUUUUGCUGGCUGGACGGAGAUUGUUGGCGAUAGGCUGAGCAGCCAUGAAAGAGAACAAGCAAGCAGAGAGAGAGAGCUAAAGACCUGGCCAUUUUGUAGAGUGGAUACUAGCUAUAGCUACUUGGGUGAGGAAGAGAGUGGAGAGGGGUUGGGAUUUAUAGGGUAGCGAAAGAGGUAAGGGAGGGACACGUACGUUGAGGAAGGGGUUGCAUGUGUAUAAGGCAUCUUCAGCCAUCUUUCUGUUUGCAUGGUGUGAAGGUUUGAAGGGUUUACACCUCAUUUCUGUGGUCUGAGGCAGGUGGCUUUGGUGAAGAAGAAGAUACAAAGUGCAUGGGAUAUAUGUGGCGAGAGGAUGGAGUCUCCAGUAUUGUCCGGAUGCAAACUGAAACUGCUUUUGAAGUUUACUGCCUUAAUUUUGGUAAAUAUGGAGAAAAAUACAUACAGUUUGUGAAAAGUAAAAUAAAUAAAGGAACUCCAUCAACUCAUCUGAACAUUGGGAAUUUGGGAUAAAUAACUAGUUAUCUCGAUCUGAUCUCAGAUAUGCAUGGCCUAAACUUACAUCCUACACUACCAUAGCUGCAAUGUAUAUUAAUACACAUGAAUCUAACCAAGCUCCUUAUAACUAGAAAAUAGAAUUGUUCUUUUUUUUCUUCUUUAAUUUGUAUCUUGGGUAUCAGUACUUUAACUGAUAUAUAACAACUGGAAAACUGUACAACAGCGUCUUGUACGGAAGUGCAAUGUAGGACGUAUUUUAUAUAGGAAAAUUCAAGGUAUUGGACUGUUUGCUAUACAAUGUAUUUUUAAAUAUUUUCGAUCAUCGGUUCUUGAAUUUUAAGAAAUAUGGUAACCGGUUUGGGGUUGUCUACGUAUAGAGAUGUGUAUAUUAUACUCAUUUUACAACUAAUUAAACCAAACUUAUAAUUUAAUGAAAAUAAAUAUACGACGAUGACAACAAACCUACCAGUUGAUUAUGUCAACUCAUUUGAAAUUACUAAUGAAGACACAUAAGCGUAAAAAAUAAUAAUAAUCCUCUUUUUCUUUCAUUACAGUAGUCUUCAUCUAGAAGAAAAAAUUCUUUUCCAACAUAAACACUAACAGAUACGUCGAACUCCAUGGAAGAUAGUGACAUUGUUUUGGAGUAUAUGCACAAUGUAUGAGUUUCUUGUUUUUUUUUUUUUUUUUUUUUGUUUCUUUUUUUGUAUGAAUUCACAAAUGUAUUAUUGUAAUUGUUUCAAUAAGAAGGAAACUUGUUGUCGACUAAGCAGAGUUUGCCCGUCCUAUUACUACAAAGAUUUUGAAGUUGUUUUUUUCUUUGUGUAUACUAAACACUCGUAAAUUUUCUUUAUUCAAAAGAAAAGUGUAUACUGACAAUCUCUUCUCCCUAAUAGAAAUAGCUUUAUGAUAUAGCGGCAAAAGACAAAUCUUGAGUUUUGGAUUUCGUUAUAAGAACUUGAUAAUUUUAUAAGAAAGUAAAUUAAUGGGUUGUUAUAUAUAGAGCUUGAGUAUAUAUACAUGGACUCUUUUUGAUAAUUUUAAGAGAAUGUUCUAGGAUAUUCUGUAUCUUUCUAGAUAUUCUUUAUGUGUGCAUUGGCCUUAUGCCAAUAGGAUAUGUAGUUAGACUAAUUCUAUGUAUUCAUAUCCUUACCAUAUUGGUAUUGUGUAAUUCCCUAUAUAAAGGGCUCAUAUCAAUGAAUAAGAUGAUGAUUCUCUUGCUAUCUCUUUCUCUACACUUUAUAUUUCAUCACGUUAUCAUGCACUUUGUUAUAACCCUAGAGCCAAUAGCCCACCAUUUGUUUUCCAAACCCUAAAAUCUGACAGCCUUGUUUUUCCUGAUUUCCGACCAAAAUUCCGACUGCCCUCUGCCGGAGUUUUAUAUCCCCAGAAAGCUCUCUCCGUCCUGGAUCCAACGCCGCCGGCCUCACCCUGAGAACCGGCCGGAAAGUCUUCGAACCGGCCGCUAGAAGAUUCCAGACCGCCGCCGCUACCGACCACCGGUUCACCACCUUCCCUUGCUCCGAUCAACCUGAAAUUUUGACAGCAGCUUCCCCAUCCAGAGCUGCUCAUUCUGUCAAAUUUUCAGCCCCAAAUUCGAAGUAUAAGUAGGCGAAACGUUAUUUCUCCUCUCGGCAGCCUCUAGAAACCAAAGAUUUCAAGAUUGGUCGUCUUCCAAGGAAACCAGAAAGGUAUGUUUUGAAACCUUAAACUUUUCCAAGUUCAAUAACUCGGGGAGGAUAAAAUCUUUUCCGCCCUUCUCUAUCUCCAUUCUAUGCUUGGGAUUUUGUGUGUGCAGGUACCAAAAAUCCCGGAAUUUUAUUCGCGGGUCAAGAGUGUAUUUGAUCACUCUUGCUUCCUUGUCCAGGUUGUGUAUGAUCAACCCCAACCUUUCUCCGGAUUGUGUUUGAUCAAUCCGAGGCCUUUUCCGAAUUGUGUUUGAUCAAUUCGCGACUUUUUCCGGAUUGUGUAUGAUCAAUCCGAAGGACAAACCAUUAAAAGCAUUGUUUGUGACCUCUAUCGAGUCUCAUAACAGCUUGGUUUUGUAUGCAAGAGCAACGUAACAUUCUGCUCAUUGAGUUUUGACGUACUCGAUACCUAAGACGAAUCUUCGCUUGGUAUCUGUGGAACAUUUCACUGGAAAGGAUUAAACAACAUAUUUUGACCCCCAGGCUAACAAGCCUAGAUGCCGAGAUUUCACAUCUCAUGCGCUCAAAGUCUUUGACGCGCCACAUCGACAAGCCUUCAAUGGCAAUCUGUGUAAAAAGUAAUGACCACAAAGUACUAUGGAAUGCACUCAUGGAGCGUUUCUUGAAACGUCCAUAUAACUCUACUUGUUGAGUUAUUAGUCAAGUGGAUUACUUACCGCCUUAAUUGACUACAUAUUGUCGAUGAUCAUUUGUGGCAUCAUGAUCCAUAACCUUUAGCGGAUUCGAUCAUCAUCAAGUUCUCUAGGUCCUCCAAGUUGGUUUGGAAUUACCAACGAGACUUGAUUUUGAUCAUACAAACGGGAAUUGUAUAUAUACGCUAAUGUGAUAAAUUUAUUUAGGAUUAUCCCCUAAAUGUGGGAACAACAAUAUGGGUCAUGACAACGGCAGAAAACGUCGUGCCGAUGUCUAGAAAAGAGGGGGAGGUGUCACCGGCUCUAAUAGCAACACUCCCGGUCUAGACACCAUUUUGUCAAAACUACUCACGUCAGCUCAUGACAACGCAACCAUUGUGGAUCUUCGGAUCACUGGUUCAAGAUUGUCAAGCUCCUUCAAAUUGUGAAUGCAUACAAAAAGGUAUAGAAAAUCAAUAUGAGGACAAGAACAUCAUCCUCAUGAUCGCGAAUUUCAAAGAUUCGGAUCCUGCUCUAGCUACCCAUGACUUUGACGUCAUCGACUAGACAUUGAUUUUCGUUCCAAGCUAUAUGUACUAAGGCGUUGAGACCUUGAUGUACUCACAUUAGCAAUAACGAAUGCCUUGAGAAUUUUUUCGAAGUUAUAAAACUAUUCUCCUCUUAUGGUUCGUAUUGAUUUACAAACAAGAUUUACAUUUUUACAUCGUCCUUAGAAGCAUGGCAUAUUUACAAUCUACAUGGUUAGAUUGUGCAGUUUUGGUCUCUUCCAAGUGGAGAUGACGCACGCCCUUGCAUCCUUAAGUAGGAUCGCUAACGUGUUUCCGGUUAAGUCUUCUACCCUAUAGCAGAUUUUUCAUCAUCAAUUGUUCAACUAGGCUCAUCCAAGCUCAGUGUGAUGUCUUAGAAUUGCCCGAAAUUAAGGAGAUAGUGGUUUCAAGUGUGCCUCGCACUACCGACCCUCCACGGACAUGCCUGGUCAUACUGACUUGGAGUUACCGAAAGCUUUUGAUUUUGGAUCCCCCUACGCUAUUAAACCAAUUGCCGUCUUGCAAAAGAUGUUGAAGACUUAUCAAAAACCGGAAAAUUAUCAUCAUGAUCUAAUCCUCUAGGUCCUCUGAGUUAGUUUAUGUUCAUGUCAGGGAGAUUUUGCUAACUAGUCAUGGAGUUUACGACCUUAGAAUGACCGAAAGGACUUUGUUUUGAUCAUACACACGUCACUUGUGGCUAAGGCAAAAUCCUACACGCCACUUGCAAGCUUCACAGCUUCGCACAUGCCAAUUCUGCGAAAAACAGCAAUCUGUCCCUUCUGGACAGUCAACUUCGUUUGCGUUUUGUGAACAGCUCCGGACGAACCAGACAAUAAGCUUUAUAUCAUUGGAAAGCUCUAUGAGUCUAGUUUUCAGAACUUUUCGCGGUUCAUCUAUAUCUAUUUUAACAAGGAAGUUAUGGCUGUUUUAGUGCGCAAAAGUCAUUCUGCGCGGAAAUUUUUAUGCACUCUCGGGAUUGCAGCUUUUCGUAGCUUCUUUCAAUCCUUCUAAAUAGUUCAAGUGGAACUAUUAACUAGCCUAUCUACUCCUUCUUGUAGAUAUGUCUCAUCGAGACAUUGAGUGCUUCGCAGAUAGUGGAACUAUCCAUAACAUUCUAAGGAACCGGCAACUAUCUUUGGAUUUUGUGUCUUUGUAAAUCUUCUGUGACUACAAUGAUUGAAUCAUACCGGUCAUUCAAGGACGCGGUUUAGCUUAAAUCUUGAUGCCUCAUGGAACCAUGAUCAAUGUCACAGAUACCCUCUAUGCAUUGAGAGGCAAUCGAACCAUAUUGAGCUCUAAAGACAUUCCUGCUAAUAGUUUUCAUUUGAAAACACAUUGUGAGAAUGAACAAGAAUUCUUUUGUGUAUACCUUCUCAUGAAUGCGGACUGAAGUGCAUCUUGGAGAAAUUCAUGAGUCAAUCUAGUGGACUGUAUGUCACUAUGAUUCGAAUAUGAUUCGAAUAUCGAAUCUCAUGUUGUCACCAAACAUGAUAUUUGGGACACUGACUCAUAUAGGCUUUGGUUUUAACCAAUUAAGGUCAUCCUAGAAGAGAUAUAAUGGUCCAAAUUUUGAGAAAUUCUCAUGGACAUCCAUUCUUCCGCUCAAAACAAAGACAUUCGAGAUCUAGCAUCACCAUGAAGCAUGGUGGUGACCCGGGGGACAUUGACGUCACCCGAACAAGGCUCCAACUUCCCGGAGGCCGUCCGGUCAAUUCCUCAAGCAACUGAGGUGCACCAGCCUUUCCUCGAUGUCGCAUUGGCCCCCUGCAAUGCUUAUUACUCGUUUUGAAAGCCUAUUAUUUAGCUAAAUUAGGAGUGAGACCCUCCUACGCUAAAUAACACAAAAGUGAACAUUCUAUUCUUACAUAAAAUUAUGUAGAUAGAUACAACCAACUUGCGAACAUCUUUUAUGUUUUAUGGUGUUGGUUGAAGUGUUAACACACUGGUCAUGUGUUACACUAUUAUCUACUGCUUAUGUUGCUUAUACUUCUACGGGCUCACUACCCAUUCUUUAAAGAAGUUUAUCGGGAUGUAAGUUGAAGUGUCCUGUACCCCAUGUUCACACGCAAUACGGUCUCACCGAGGCUACGACUAAGCAACUUUAGCUUGUCGCUCGAACAUUAUUGAUGCGCACCAAUCUUUCUAUUGCGUCUUGGGGCUAUACAAUAUUUGCAUGCAGCUUUACUAUUCAUCUACAACUCACCAUCAUUGAAUAUUUUUGUACUACAGCUCGUGACUGUGUACCAGGAUUGCAAUCCUUGAGCUCAAACAAGAUUGAAACGGAUCUCCAAUCCUUGAGCUCAGCUAGAUAUUUAUUCUAGGUGUCAAAUCGCACUGCCACUGAAGGACAAUGAUGGGUCAUUUGAGAUGAAUAAGUAUUUAGGUUGGAUAUGAAUCUCCACCUAUAAUCCGCAUAUGUAGAAACCUUGUCAGACGAUCUCUUUCACCGCUAUAUUGCGGAUUGUCACUUUGAUGAGACAAUAUUCUCGCCGUUAGGGGGAGAUAAGAGCACAAGUGUUCAAGUGGAACGACGUGAAUUGUCGUGGUUUGUCCCCACUAAGUCUCAUCUUGAUCCCAAAUGCUUAAAGUGUUAAAGUGACGAGAUCACAUGCAGCAAAUAUGUCUGUAAGGAUUGAUGUCCUUUUCAAAGGACAUGGCGCGACCAAAAGGUGUUGGUCUUGACGCCAUCACCAUGGAUGGUGAUAUAGUGACGCCAUAUAGUGGCAAAAUUGGUGUCACAAAGCCGUGUGGCUCCCUAAAAGGAAGGAGACCUUUAGGUUCGAUACUUUCUCGCACUAGAAAGAAAACGAGCUUGGCACAACCUGAUCCAUUGAUCAGUGAUACUCAAAUCCGUCUCAUGAAGUCUGAAUUGUGAUUAUCGUUGGGGGACGCCUCAACGUCAAAUCCAAUCCAUAUAGAGAUCUCUACACGUAUUACACUAGUGUACAUGAGGACGUGGGAUAAUGAGUCUACUAUCGAACCACCCUUCGUUGAUGGAUAUCAACUUAGUUGAUUGGCCUAAUGGAAAGAUGUGAUCCAGCAUAACAAAGAGAUAGGUCCUUGGGCAGGUGAUGCCGACACCGCAAGCUAAACCCUAUCAACUAUGCCUUUGUUAGAUAACGUAGUGAGAACAAGAGCUUAGACUCACCUUAUGACGCAAGGUAUCUCACUAACACGCACUGAGAUCGACUACGAUAAGAUAUGCUUUCGUAAUGGAUGUCAUUGAACUCCACUACUUUGUCAGUUUGGUAGUUUCCGAAUAACUGAACAAGCAGCCUAUGAAUGUGAUCGUAAUAACAUCUCUACGGGAUCAGAGAUAUGCAUGAAGGUCUUGAACAGACUUCAUUCAUCCAAAUCAAGUGGCUCCAGACCACAGGAGCAUGUGUUUGCUAAAUGUAUUGAAACGCACAUGGACUCCACUUGAUUUGGAAGGGAUAUGGUGAAUUAUGCAUUUGCGUGUUCAUUCAAGAUUUACAUGGACUCUUGAUGGAUCAAGAGAUGCCAAUAUGUAUCAACAUCCGAAGAAAAAGAUCUUGGGAAGACACGGUCUCGAUAAGACACUCGAUGACUGUAUUGAUGAUGAUUUUUCAUCAAUCGGCUUAGGUGCUCUAACGAAAGUGAGGCCUACAUAUACUCCCAUGAUUAGUCAAAGUCUUUACUCUAAAGAGAGAUCCGUUGUUUUGUCUAAAGCAUGAUGACAAAUAUGUGUUAAGAGAUGGAGUUCCCAUCUAAGUACAAUUAGACGCAUCAAUGUACUCAACACAAUAUGAAAGACUUGACAUCUCAUUCGCUAUGAAAAGUUGUAAAGCUAAGUAUAGUUAUGCGCCCACGUAACGCCAAUGUAAUGGCAGUAACUCUUUUUUCAAUACUUAAUGGUAUGAAAGGUUGAGGCUAAUUCUAUCCCUACAUAAGAAAGACACAUCAAUAGCGAAAUCAAAAUCUGCCAAGUUUCGUAGGUCAACUUCCACGGGACCUACAAGAAAUCUCACUCACUAGAAAAUGGUGAAAUUGGUACCAUUGGAAAGUUCUAUGUGUCUACUUUCCAGGGACACCAACCAUUUGUUCAUACCUAUCAUAUUGAGUGAGUUAUGGCCGUUUUCAUAAAGUAUGACGAAUCUGUCCGAGAAUCUGAUUUUGGCAAAACAGUCAACUUCGACGGGACUUUGUGAAUAGCUCCUGAUGAAUCAGAACAUGUGUAAUAUACAGUUGGAAAGCUAAAUGAGUCUAGUUUCCAAAACCGUUUACGGUUCAUUCAUAUGUAUUUCCUAGAGGAAGUUACGACUGUUCUAGUAACUGAAGGUCAUGCUGCGCGGAAAUCUGAUUUCCUGCACAAACUUAUGUUUUGAGUUCACAAGCGGCCUUCUCCUCAAGAUCUAAGUGUAAAAGAUCAUUUGAGGACAAUACGGCAUGAUUUAGUUAAUCAUUGCCUAAUGCCACAUUUGAAGACAUGUUAAAGAGCAUUGACAUGCUAAGUUGUUGAAAUUUCCGUGAUUAGUAAAAAUCAGGAAUAGCCCUAUGAUUGAUGUAAAGAUCAGGGGGAGGUGCAAACUUCAGGGGGAGUCUAGCACAUACAUACAUGUCACUAUCAAAUGUGAAUGGUGCGUUGUACUCUUUUUCUCCUACGAUCAAGGUUCAGUUUUUCUCCCACAUGGUUUUUGUGACUUGACGAGGUUUUUAACGAGGCAACAGAUCAGCACCAUCGGCAUAUCAGAGCGGCACAAGGGGGAGUGUUCUAGGAUAUUCUGUAUCUUUCUAGAUAUUUUUUAUGUGUGCCUUGGCCUUAUGCCAAUAGGAUAUGUAGUUAGACUAGAUCUAUGUAUUCAUAUCCUUACCAUAUUGGUAUUGUGUAAUUCCCUAUAUAAAGGGCUCAUAUCAAUGAAUAAGAUGAUGAUUCUCUUGCUAUCUCUUUCUCUACACUUUAUACUUCAUCAGAGAAUAAUGUUUUUCUUGAUUUUAUUGGACUAUGGGCGUUCUGGGAAAAUUGAGGAGGUGUAUAUAACAUUUUAGUUAUUUGUAAAAGUAAAUUUGAGGUCCAUUAAACAAGAAGAUCCAACAGCCGUUUUUAGAGAUAUAAAUAGAACCUCCCAUGACGGAAUGAUAUUACAGUGAAGUUGAAAAAAAAAAAAAAAGUCACAAUGUGCUUGACCUAUAUAUAUAUAUAUAUAUAUAUAUAUAUAANNNNNNNNNNNNNNNNNNNNAAAAAAAGUAAAAACUAACAUAUGNUNUACUACUAUAUAUAUAUAUAUAUAUAUAUAUAUAUAAACCAUACUUUCUUGUAUCAUCUUCAAAAAUAAGGUUCAAAUUAACAGCUAAACAAAACAUCGAUUAUCGUACGUUAAUGUUUCCUUUAGUUAUAGACUACUAGCAGAAAUCCGUAAUAUAUAUAGCUCCACAAUAACUAGUAGUGAAGUAUCUACGUGCAUGCAGAGCUAUCUAUUUGUUCUGUACAUGGGAAUGGUGGGUUUGGCUUUAUACCGAUAAAGAACUCUCCUGUCCUUGAAAUUCCAGUUCUCAAAGGUCACGAAUAUCUUCCCUGGUUCACUAAAGUAGAAGGAGUUUCUCACACUCUCUCCUUGCAGUCUCUUCUUGUCUUGGAUUAGAAUGUUGUACGACCCUUCAUCAUCAGGAAGGAACUCUUCCUUGUACAACACGUCCCAUCCCACCACAGUUAGAUCCCACACCAUUGUCAAUCCACCCUAAUCAAAUGAAAACACCCCAAAAAAUGAAAAUUAUUAGUUAACAACAAGAUUCAACUCAUCAUUCGAUUAAACACGCGAUUAAUGACGAGAAUUAGUACCUCAACAACUGGAAUUUCAAUAUAGUUGAUUGUGUUUGCUUUGAUUAUGAGCUCAGAUACUUUGUCCUCUGGUGUGAACUCAUCAUCUUGCUCUCUUUUGAGGCCACCAUAUUGAACUGGGAGUUCUUCUGGUUCUAUGAACCUUUUUUUUCAUAAUCAUUUCCAUGCAAAGUAACUUGUGUAUUAGAGACACGGAUGAGAUACUAAUGUAAUUGGAUAGUUUCAAUUUUUUGAGUAGUAAUCUCACUCACUUGAGAAGGGUCUUUGUAACCUUUUGGGAUCUAGCAAAGAUGAACGUCUUCUUAGUUCUGUGACUUAGAAACCUUGAUCGGAGCACAUGAGACACAUAAUACCAAAGUGGAGCAUUGAUAACAAUCUGCCAGUGGAAAGCAAGAAAUUAACAUAUACCACAUUGUAAUUAGCAAGUGCAGAGUUUUGCUACUUACAUUCUUUUGAAUGAGCUCAGGAUAGUUGUCCUGUAACAAGAGCAGAGUUUUGCUACUAAGCGAACGAAGCUCCUUAAAAUCGGGGCCUGGGGAAUCCUUCAAAUCCGUAAUCUGAACCAUCGAAUCAACCCCUCUCUUGAAGUUGAGCUUCUUGAUUCCCUUUUCAAUGAAUUGAACUCUCCACCUCAAAAACUGUUGGCGUCUUGCUUCAGACCCGAAUGUUUUCUUGUACAAGUCUUUGUCCUUGAAAGGUCCAUACGAAGUGUAACACAAAGGGUGGCCAUCUUUGUCUCUACUAUUUAUGCACACCACGUCUUCAAGACCAGAGACUCCUAAAUCUUCUUCCAGAAUUUCAUCAGUCCUGAAUUCUUUUCGCCAUUUCAGGGUUCUUUUCAGCAUUUCAAAUGCGUCGCUGGUCUUGUAAUCCCGGGCUUUCAAGAAUUUGAGGAGCAAAACAUCAGUGCCUUGAUGGCCUUUGCUUGGCAACAAAGGCACACCCCAUAGGGUAAUCUCCUUGAGUUGUUCUUUCUGCCUCAAGCUUUCAUUUCGGCUAAUCCUUCUGCUGGGUUUUCCGAGAAUGUAAUUCCCCAUAAUUGCAUCUUCAACUCUGCACCGGAAUUCCAUCAAGGCUUUCCUCUUCUUCUUCUUCAUUGACGCAGAAGCAGCUUUGGUUUCCUCAUCAUCCUCUAUAGCUCUACGUUCAACAUCUUCUUCAUCACUAUCCGGACAUAAUUCCCGGGGGCUUUCCAAGAUGUAGUCAUUAGGCUGAUCAUAAUUUCCCAGAGGCGAGUCAAGCUCUUGCUCUCUGCCCUGGUAAUUAGCUUCAUUUUUCAUUUUGGGUCUCCUGAUCAUUCAUCUCCCAUUGUCAAAUAUAGAGGAGAUUGAAAUCCCCGGCAUUCAGAGUUUCCGGGGAAACUGAAUAUUGGUGGUGCUCGGAUUCAAUGAUGGGGAGUUGAGAACGACGAACACAAAAAGUUUACAUCUUUCCUUUCUCUAUUACCUCAAGCUCAAGAAAGGCCUGGCGCCAAAUUUAGGUUGGACAAUCGUAGUAACUAACGGUGAGAUUGGAACAGGCUUUUUUACAAGUGUUUUAAACUUUUAUCCCCAAUUCAUCGGGCUUGGCUGGCAUACAAUUAGUGGUUGUUGUAAAUAGAUUAGGUUCCAAAUGCAAGUCAAAUUUAGUAUUUGAGUUUCAACACUAAACCCUUAAUCCAACUCGUUGCCUAACAAUGUGCAAGAAUCACUGUCCAAGUCAAAAUUUUGCCUUGCUGGGAUAAGGGAUCUAAGAACAUCUCCAAAAAAGAGAUAGAAAAACACAAUUGUACAAAAGCAACACCAUGGAAACGGUGUUAUGUCGUAAAGGUGCAACAAGUUAUUCAAGUUAUUAGAUUUGCAAAGGUCACCAUCUGUCCUCAAAAAAGGUCACAAACUGAUCUCCACUGUCCUGGUAUGGGAGGCAUUGACAAUAGAAUGAGAAGAACGAAAGAAAAGGGGAACAACUUACAAGCUAAUACUAAACAGAUGGUUGCUGGAGAAAGAAAAGAGACAAUGGCUGAGAUUAAUCCUCUACAUUCUGGGAAGUUCGAUGCAUUAUCUUGUCCUCCUUGACUAAUUCACAACCUGUAGCAGUGAUUUUUACAUCCUAAUACAGCGAAACCUAACUGCUGAUUUCCAUGCCUAUGAAAAGAAUGUAACCUGAACGGCCGUUGAAAUCUUGUAAUCAUAUUUACAGUGAAAUGGGAUGUGAAAUGAUUGAUCUGUAUCUAUAUAACAAGUCAUUAUCCAACUGCAGACUGGGAGCUGCUGCAUUACUCCUCUCGAAAUCUAGUCAAGUCAAAUGACAUGGUUUUGGAACAACUGCAAUAACAGCAGCACAAUUAGCGCGUUAAGAAACUAUAAUAUAAAUCCUCAAGAUAUAACCAUGUGACGUGCUCAAAUUCUUGUCUGAUGCUCACCUCAUGUCAGCGUCCCUGAAAACCCCAACCAGAGCUUCAGCCUUGUCAUAGAAGCUAUCUUUUAGAGAUAUUACAAUACUCUGAAAACCAUUGCCUCCUUCCGUAUCCUGGUUAACCCUGGCUCCUUGGCAAGACUUUGAACGGAUGAAUCGAGCAACUUUUGCUACAUUUAAGUUAUCCAGUGCAGCAUCAACUUCAUCCAGUAUGAAGAAAGGCGAAGGCCUAUAGCUGAAGCAUUCAUGAAAACAAAUGUGGAAAAACAAUUAAUUACAGGCUCUUAUCUACAGUGUAAAAGAGUAGAAACCAAAAACUAGAACAAAACUUUCGUAGUGGAACAGCGUACAUAUUGGUGAAAGGAAGACCAAAAGCCAGAAACUCCACAAUCCCCACCCAAAAAUAUUCAUAACUAUUGAAGCAUGUGCUCUAUGUAUCUACUGCAAGGCCUACCCAGAAUCUUUUGUUCUUGGAUGUCUUUAAAGGUAAACACUAUAUAUGAUUAACAUAUACCUGUGUAUGGCAAACAGUAAUGCUAAUGCUGCAACAGUUUUCUCUCCGCCAGAUAAUUGUUCCAUAUCUCGAAAGCGCUUUGUUGGGGGCAUAGUAGUGUACUUGACGCCAUGUAGAUAUGGAUCAUCUUCAUUUUCUAAAUUCAAAUAUGCCGUCCCACCAAGUGGAUGUGUAUUGCUCUUCGUCAGUUGCUUGUAUAUCUUAUCAAUAUUACUAGAAAUAUGGUUGAAGGCAUCCAUAAACUUCUCAUACCUGCAUUGACCAAAUAAACCAUUACAAUCAAAUGUCAGGGAAAAAAUAGAAAUCAGUUGCGUAGUGGGCAUAUUUGUCACUUACGUGAUGAUUUCUUUCACUUUCUGUCGACAGUAAACAUUGACCAUUCCUAUUACUAGUUUCUAUCCAUAAAGUUUGUCUUACGAAACCCAAUAAUGUGCAAUCAUGUAUAGUCAACUACAUUAUGAUAAUUAGACAAUCCAGUAGCAGUGUAAAAGCAAUCAAUACCUGCUUUGCUUAACCGAGUUAAACAGAUCAGCCUUUUGCUUCUGUUCUUUUCUGGCCACUUCAAACUCUGCAGUUAUAUCUCUUUCCUUUUCUUGUAGAGCCUCAUAUUGGUCCAUGGCCUUCAAAUUGGGAGCUGUUCUUUCUAUUUCUGAUAGCUUGGCAUCCAUUUGUUUCUUAAAGUCUAACUCGACUUUCUCCCGCUCAGAAGGCCUCCUAUCUCUCAAUAGAGACUCAUCUAACUCAUCAAAAUCAAAUACUGGGCCCGUUGUGGAGGAGUCAGUCUCCAUUGGAUCUGAGAUGAUAGGAAGGCUUAUUUGCUGAAGUUCACAAUUUUCUACUAUCUCCUGCUUCCGAGAUGUUAGCUGCUCAAUCUGAGUUUCCUGUAAGGCACGAAAAAAAUGUUUAGGGAUUCAAAUUAACAUGGUACAGAAGUGUCGCAAACAAAACCAAAUGCCAACCUUAGAAUUUAUCUGUCGAUUAAGUUUGGAUACAUUUGUUGUAGCAGUAGAACCCCGCUUGUUCCAUUCUUGAAUUUCCUUUUCACACCCUUCCGACUUGGAUUUCCACUCUACAUUAAUAGUGAGAGAUACAACUUUAUGAACUAAAAAGAAAGGAUAAAGUGGGUUUGCGACUCGUUUGAACAACUUGGGAAAAAGACAGAAAAAGAACAACAACCAUGAGAUCAAGUCCCGCGCUCAAGGCCUAAAAUCUGAGAAUUUAAGUUCUCCAAAAAAAAUACAGUACCAUGCCGAACUUUUAUCAUACCUUGUGCAUCUUCCUUCAACUGCUCAAUCUCAGCAGAGGCUUUUUCAGCUGCAGAGUUGGCUUCAAAUUCUUUCUUUUGAACCCAUUCUAAAUCUUUUUGUAGAUUACUAAUAGAUGAUUGGAGUUCUUCAAUUCGUGUAGCCAUGUCCCGAUUUUGCUCAUACUCUAGCCUGAAAGCAAACAAAGACCAGUAUUUUACCAUAAAAUAUGAGCAAGUGCCAAAGCUGUCAUACAACAAGUACACCAGAAACAAUAGUGGUGAAACUGGGCAGAUUGUUUGGGUUUGAUAUUUGAGUACUUCAAUAGAACCUGUGGUCAAUCUAAAAAGUUAAAACAAAAUUUUCAAAGACUUUACAGCCCUACAAAGAACUUGUAACUGGACAGCGUCAAACAUCUCUCAUCUUUAGUGAUCACUGCUUUCUAAAAAAGUCGUGUGAUAAUAGACACGACAGCGUUCUUUAAAGAUGAUCAAGACACAUCAAAAAGAAUAUAUGGUGGGGAGCGAGGAAAACCAACUGACUAAUUGGCCCAAUACUUGUAGUUGGUUGUUUCCUCAGUCAAAGUACUUGUAGUUCAUCAGAAUGUUAAAGCACAAUUUGAAGAUGCAUAAAUGCAUGCACAUUCAUACAAUAGUGUGGGAAUCAAUGAUCAAGUUAUAUAUCACAUAAUUCAUGCAUGUGUCCAACAUAAUAUACACAACUCACAUUCCACUGUAUGCCCAAAAUAAAAUAAUUACCAACAUACAACAGUAAAAUUGACAAAAGAUAAAAUAUAGGGAAGAACAUACUGGUAUUUCAAUUUUGAUAGCUGGCUACUCAAACUAAGCCUCUCUUCAGCCAUAGAUUGGGAAACCUUGAGUUGUUUUUCUUCAUACUCACGAAUGUUAUCUACCCCAACAGAUUUACUAAAGCCUUUGUAGAGUCUGUCAACAAUAUCAUUUAUCCUCUUCUCAAGCUUAUUGAUUUCUGUGCUCCGCUUAUCUACAGCUUGUUUUAGCUGCAAUCAUUUUUAAAACUGCUGUGUGAAACAAAAUGCUAGAAUAAGCUAGAGAAAACAGUAAUCAGGGAAAUACCUUCAGAAGAUCAGGACUGAUACGAUCAAUCUCUUCUUUUAUGUUCUGCCUCUCCCGCGCCAAAUUUGCAAGUUUGUCCUUGAUGCUUUUCUGUGAAAAAACUCAUCUUAGUUUUGAAUCCACUAGAAGGAACCUCAUGUUUAGCUUAAUUAAGAUAUAUCAAAGUAAAAGACUGAAAAACUAUUCACCCACCCUCCCACACCCAAAGCACAAAGGAAAAACUAAAAUAGAAUAAAUAGCAUUCAUCUCCACUUUAUAAUUAAAAGACCAAUACCAACCCUUCCCAUCAAGUCUAAUUCAUCUUAUUUGAUAAACCACACACAAGUGACACAACCAGACAUAAAACAGCUUCAAAGUUCAACCUGCAUCUUCUAGAUUUGGUGUCUGGGUAUGGAUAUAAAACUACCUUACCUGUAGAAUAGGAGUGAAAAAAAAAAGAUACAAGUAAAUCCUUGCAAUUACCUUCUCAAUAUCUGCAUAUUGGAUUUUCUUAUCAAGCCCACUAAGUCUGCCAGCUGUUUCAGACUCUUUUAGCUGCAUCUCUCUAAUUGACCCAAGCUCUUCUAGCUCCAACUCAAACUGUUCUUUCUUCUUCUUCAGUCCUAAACAACAAACAGUUAAACCACAUCAAAAAUUACCAGACCAAAAUUCAAAUGACAAUACAGCAAUUCAAAACUCACCUUCGACUUUUUUAUCAUCCCACUGUUUUGACCUAGCUUCCAUUCCUCCACUGGUACCACCAGUCAUUGUGCCAGAUUUUGACAGCAUAAUUCCAUCAACAGUUACAACUAAUUAAAGGGGGAAAGAGAAAAAAAGUUAGAUGCUGGCUAAAUAAAAACAUGCCUGACACAGAUACUUAACGAUAACAAAGUUGAACGCAUUACCUUUGAACCUCUCACCACUCCAGCUUAGGCGCUUAGCCUCAUCAAGUUCGUCACAAACGAGAGUAUUGCCAACCGCAAAGAGAAUAGCCUUCUCCAAGGCAUGAUCAAAUGUAUGGUUGUUAAGUAGACAAACUAAUAGCACCUCUUCGUAGAUUCUCAUGCAGAAAAUAGUUUUCUUACAAACAGAAAAACAUACAAGGAAUACAGGCAACAUACAUCAAGGACAGUACAUAGCAUAGUGAUCAGGAGGAUGAUCUAAAACAAUAGCUAACCACGAAAUGAUGAAGGUGUGAGCGUGCUUCUAUGCAUUAACAUGUUCCAUCUAAAUAAAUGCAGAGACGAUACUAAUCUGGAUGAUUAUACUCAAACUCUUUGUGGGAGAAAGCCAGAGGAAUGAUGAGUUACAUGAAGAAAACUUGUGCCAUAAAUGGAAGAAAAGAAUGAGAACAGAAAAUCAUCCAAGUUGAAAGGGAAAAGAAUUAAAUAAUUUUUUUUAAAAAAAUCAACAAGAAUAAAACACAUAAUGGGAUCCUAAUGCAAGUCUAUAAUAGAACACAAGUUGUUCAAUUUUUUUAGUUAUUUAAAAGUUCCAUAAUUUCUUCUAGAAAAAUAUAUGUUUUCGAUAACCAGAGUUCCACUACCCAAAAACAAUAAUGCACCAGAAAUUAGCAGCACUAACCGGCCCAGAUCAAAGAUACUCUCUUACUGCAUAUGAUGGAAAACAUGAAAAUGUAAUACAACAUAUAUAUACACACACAAAAAUAUAUGUAGUUAUGUAUAUAGAUCAAUCACACAUAACAUCUCUGCCUAUUUCUAUGCAUACAAAUAAAGAGCUAUACAAUGUGCACUACACACAUCCUUUUCACACAGACAUGCAUGCAUGCAGACAAACACCAACAAGAUUACACAAAAAUGUAAAUCUUCAACUACAGAGUUCGGAACAAACAAAAGUUUGGACACUAAACCAAUGUAGGCUUUUGUAGAAGCAAAUAUCAAGAAAAUAACACAUAGAUUUUAUUUGAUCUCUACUGUACCGUAAGAUGAUAACCAUGACAAAGAAUUAUUGAAUUUUUGCUCUCAAGAAAGCAUGAUGAAAGGAUAUUGAACAACAUCAAAAACCAGCUUUGCAGUACCACCCAAGUUACGCAGUCUCUCCAUUACUUGCUUUACACGAACAGAUUGGAGAGGUAUGAAUGUCUGAGGAGGAAGCCUUUGUUCUUUCAAAUACUGCAGAAAUGCAAGGAUCAGUAUCAGAACCGCAUUCACAUGAAUGAUAUAAUAUUCAAACUUUGUCAACAUAUAUUUCACAUUGGUACCCCAAGUAAUCAAUAAAACUGUCCGUAUCAUUAGAUAUUUCAAUAUUCAAACACACAAAAAACCAACAGACUCAAACAGGAUAAGAGAAAGAAAAAAAAUUAAAUCUCUUGAUUUUCCUAUAAUCUAUUUUCUUUAUUUUUAUUCUGAUUGCCUUGCAACUACUGUGAUGUGAAUAAUCAUUAUAAAAAUUGAGAAUUUAAAAUCUUAAUUUUACCAAUGAAAUAAGGAAGGCAAUCUUAACAAGCUAGUGUAAGCAUUCUACAAGAGCGAAAAGAUGAGAACAUAUAUCACCUUGAUACACUCCUUUCCUGUUUGUUCAUCUUCAACUACGACUGCAUCCAUAAAUUUUCCCAUGGCAACAGUGACAGCAAGAUUAUACUUCUUUUGUGUUGGCCUACAGAGUUCAGUCAUGCGACCAUGGACACCCUGAAACAAGCGCUUGAGAGUCUCUACUGCCUGAGACAACCUGGAAUCCCUCUCAUUCUCAUAUCUAUCGGCCUUCAGUUCACGUAAUUGCUUCUCUAAUUCAUCAAUUUUUGACUUCAAAUUUUCAUACUUCUGUCUGUAUAUCCAUAAAAAGGAUAAUAGUAAACAUACAAAUCAUCACAUUUUGCUAGUGUCUUGUAAAAUAAGUAAAUAACAACCUAAAGAAGAGAAAAGAAUGGAGAAAUUUAAUCAAAUGAAUAAAGGGGAAUGAGAAGCACCAGGCAACACAUGCCAAAACCUUAGCAGAACGUAUGAAUGACUCUUAAAAAGCAUAAAUUUAAAAAAUAAAAAUAAAAAAAAGCAAGCAUACAAGCAAGUUGAAUAACCUGGCAUUCUGAUGUUUAUCCUUCAUCACAAGCAAUUCAUUAUUCAGACUUUUUACUUCCUCUCUGUGUUUUGCAGAGUUAUCUUUAAUGUUUUUCAGCCUUGUCAGCAUUUGCUUAUUCUGUGAAUCCAGUUCACUCUCCCUACUUCUCAACUGUUCAAGAUUUUCUUCCAAAUUCUUUUGAGCUUCAAGAUCAGCAUGCUGUUGCCGAUCCAGAACCUCUUUCUCAUCUGUUAGCUUCGCAGUUUUCAUCCCAGCAUCCUCCUUCCUGUGACAUCAGCAUACCAUUAAUAUUUACAAAGCCUAUCAAGGAGAGCCUCUAAAUCCUAAGUUAUAUGGUCCAGUGAAGGUAAUUUAGAAAGUUCAUGAAGAUCGAAAGGUAGGCAGGAAACUGACUUCAAUUCUCAGCUCAAAAUUGAAAAGUAACAUGGCUUUUGGUUAAAGAAACAGAACUUCAUCUUUAAAACGUAAGGAAUGGGACACUAUCAUCACACUGAGAUGCAGUAAUAAAAUUAAACAGAGAUUACCAAACACUUACACUUUAAAAUAUUCCCUCAAUUUAGUAUCGUCUAACUGUAAUUUUUCACCACCGUCUCGUCCUUUUUCAUGUAAAUCCUCUAGUUGAGUGGUCAAAUCUUGGAUGCCCUUCUGCAGCUUUUUAAUUUCCUCUUUAUGUCUCUCCCUUUCUUUUUCUUUCUUACCAAGCUCAGUCUUACUUUUCUUGAUUUUUGAAUUUAUACGAGACAUUUCCUCUUUCAGUUUCAGCAGCUCUGGUUUCUACAAAUACGAAACCACAUCAAACAAUUCACUGUAUGUCCUCUUGAUCAAGCAUAAGAUCAAUUAUAUUUACAGAAAAGUAAAGGCCAUUUAUUUUAGAACGUCAGCAAAACUAGCAAUAUAACGGAAAAAAAUUCACAAGGACCCGUUCAUUCACCCACAGCAGCUAUACGAGACAGUCAGAUACUCUUAUAUUAUAUAUGUAGGUUGAACGAACACGGUUUCGCUAUAAUAAGUAAAAAUGUAAAGAUUUAUGUUAUAACUUCUCUUAAGCCUCGGUCAUUUGAGGGUCUAACGGAGACCAACUCAGUAACAAAAAAGCAAAAUGAAACUCAUGGUAUUGGACACAACUAUCAAUGAAAUUUCAAUCUUCUGUCCAAGGCAAAGAAACUCACGCUUUUGUCGAGUUUAUUACUUCUCUCGGCAAUCUUCUUCUCACAUUGGGCAAUCUCUUUUAAGUACUUGUUGAGUUCUUUCUUCUUUUUGGUUGCUUCUUGCUGAAAAUCAUCUAGUUCUUGCAUAACCUGUUCACGGUUUCUCUUUUCAGCUUCAAGCUCAUUAGUCGUUUUUGUUAUAUCUCUUUCUAUGUUGAACAACUGCCACAAAAAAUGUUCUCUCUUCAAAGAUUUCUGCAAGAAAGAAUACAUGUGAUUUUAGUAUUACACAGAAUCAAAGUUCUUAAGCAGAAGAUUCAAAGACAGGAGCAUACACCUAUUGAGCAUGUAAAAGAAACAAAACGUCAAUACCAAAAUAGUCUACAGGGAUAAGAGUUUGAUAUAUUAAAGACAGAUCCUAUAUUAGAUUUAAUCUACAUGUGUGAAUGCACACAACCAUGUGGAUGCAAGAUUCAUAGUGUGUGCGUAUUUGCGUGUGUGCGUGCAAAAGAGAUAAAAGGGAAAUGCAAUAUGCGAGACCCUCUUUCCUGAAAGUGAGUUCCUAGUAUCUACAAUAUCUUUUAAAGUUACAUGAUAUCUUUCAUGCAGGCACUUGUACAAUUAAUUACAUAAUUUCACCCAACACGGAUAAUUGAAACAAGCAGGAUAGACAUACGAACAACCCCGAUAAACAUAAUAUACAACAUAUGCAUAUUAUUGUGUGCAUAUAGACAUAUGUAACCAUUAACCAGUAAGCACGGACCAAGUAUGUGUAUAAAUAUAUAUACACACACACACAGCAAGUACGUGUAUAUGUAUGUAAAUAGAAAAAGAACGUUGAGGUACAAACCAGUUCAUUUUGCAGGCGAAUAUGCUUCUCAGCUUCUUCCUUUUGCUCUUUCUUUUGCUUCCUCUCCGCUACUAUGGUCCUCUUUUUCUGAUAAACAAGUGCUGCUUUUUCUUCAGCUAUGCCUUUCUCUUCUUCGUACUUUUCAUAGUCUCUCUUGAAGUCAUCUGACCCUGAGAUCUGCUCAAGCAGUGCAGUGAGUUCCUUAGGAUUUUUAGAGGCAAUGGACUCCACAUCACCCUACGGAGAAAGAAAUAAUCAGUAAUUAAAAGUGACCCGGUUACUGCCAAGAUAUGCAAACAUCAAAGUCACCAUAAAAGCAGCAGUCAUCUAUUUGUCUAUGAAAAAUAAUGCAAAUGAGUAGAGAUUGCACGGUUAGCAACUUCUGUGAAUUCUCGUUUUUUCCCUUUUAAUUUUGGUUUGGAUGAACAUGUUUCCAAAUUUAAUAAAGAUGUUCCAACGCGUCACUACACCGGAGUGCCCAAAUAAGAGUACACAGAGCCUGAAUUCAACAAUGGGUGGCAAGACAUUUACGUUACCUAACCCAACACCUUCAACUUCGCAAACGAAAUGUGCAAUUGGCGUCAGAGACAUUUUCGAUAUUCAAUAAUUAACUAACGCAAGGUGUGGCCAAUAAAUGUCAUUGAUGUACCUUCUCAUUCUAUUCUCAUUCAAAACCUCUGCUUCUUAGCAAACAUACUCCCUAAAGCAUAAUCAAUGAAAACAAUUCGACAUAGAAAAGCUAAAUUACGAGUAUCAAGUAAUCGAAAUCAACCUGAAAAACAAGAAAAUUGCGGGCCUUGACCAGAAUUCCCAACGACUUAAGCUUCUCAGUAUAAGUAUCCGCCGUCACCGACCUGCCGUCGAUGCGGUACUCACUGCCGCCGGAGCUAGUGAUGGCCCUGGUGAACUGGAUCUCGGACUCAUUGGCAAGCUGAUAAACCAAGGUCACGAACGCCCGGCGUCCCUUCUCGGUCUUCUCGCUGUCGUCCAUGGCGUAGAUCAGGUCCUUGAGCUGGGACCCACGGAGCUGGCCGGUCUUGACGCCGAGGACGAAGCUGAUGGCGUCCAUGAGGUUGGACUUGCCGGAGCCGUUCGGGCCGAUUAUGGCGGUGAAGUCGGAGAAGGGGCCGAUGACCUGGUGGCCGCGGUAGGACUUGAAAUUCUCGAGCUCGAGGCGGUGGAUUUUGCCCUGGGAGAUGAAGGACGGCAUGGCUUAGGGUUUCGGGGAGUUUGAAUCGAAGCUAGGGUUUGGGGAGGAGGUGGAAUUGAGCGGAGUAAAGGAGAGAGGAGAUGAGGGGAGGGGUGGCCGGAGAGAUGAGGAGGGGAGGUUUCCGGCGAGAGGGGAGGGAGGAGUGGAGGCGGAGAGGAGGGGAUUGGGGAUUUUGAGGUGGGAAUUGGCGGGAGAUUGGGGGAGUUUUGGGGAAUUUUAGGGAGGGUUGGUGAUUUGAGUUGCCAUUUUCGAAGUGAGAAAAAGUAGGAGACCGCAAAGAGUGAGCGCUUUAGUAGAGAGUCGAAACGUUUCGCUUUGGGCAAGAGAAUGCUAUUAUUUUUAUUUGCAGUUUAGUCCUUAAGGUUUUCUUUAUUUUCGUUUUGGCCGCUAGUUGGGUCAAGAUUUUACUUUUUUCUUCUUGUCUGAAUUCAAUAUGUGGAAAUUCAGUAGUUAGUUUCUUACCUUUCUGACUUUAAUCUUGUUUGAUCAAAACAAAAAACAAGCUCUUAUGAACUUUCAAUAGUCUCAUAAUAAUGUGUAUCAAUGAAGAAUGAAUCUAAAAAGGGGAUCAAUAGCUACUUAAAUUAUUGUUAAGAUUAUAUGAUAUGAUGUUAGAUUAUAGAAUCAUAUCACAAUAAAAAAUUGUAAUUUAAUAUUACUUGGAGAAUCAAUAUAUAAUCUUAAUUUUAGCGUAGAUGGUUAUUGUCUUUAUUGAUCCACCCAAAUCGAGAUCUAGAAAGAUGAAUGUCAAGGAGCUUUGGGGGGAAACUGGAAAGUAGGGGAUUGGCGGGAGAUGAAAUUUGUAAACUGCAGAAUAAAACUGCGAUAAUAUAAAAUUAUGAAGAAUGGGCUUUUCUAUUCAAAAAAAAAAAUUAUGAAGAAAAAAAUUACCAUGGUCAAUUGACUUUCCUAACAAAAAACAUCACAAAAAAGGUGCAACCAAGGCAAAGGCUAUGAAUAGGGAACAAAUCAAGUUGUCAUUCUACUUUCAUAAUGACAGUACGUCUUUAUAUCGUUGCGGUACGGUUCUUGCACUCGGGAAUUUCCAACAAGGAAAGCGAAGAGAAACCGGCAUAUAAGUGAGGAGAGAAUCCAGAACAUAUACUACACCAGAGAACGGUACAUAGACAUGUCAAGUAAGGCAAAGAAACUACUCAUCUGAAAAUGAAAAACAGAAAAAGACAGUAGCAAGAUGCACAUACAUAAAAAGAGUUUAGCAGAAGGGGCUUAUAGAAUGGAGACAGCUUCCACAAAAUAGUUUUGCCCCCACCUGAAGUCCACAUUCCAUGCUUAAAAAGUACCGAGUAUGAUUACAGAAUGGUUAAUUACUCUGAACAACAAUCAAAGAAAGAGACUCCUAAUGGACAAGGAUAUCCUGCUAGUAAGAAGUCAUCUGGAUGGAUGAAGCUUCAUCAAUGACCAACUUUUUCACUGCUAGACGAAGUGCCGUCUUGUACAGAAUCCGCUAUUUUGGUUUCACUAGGAGUUCCCACAGGCGCAGAUGGGAUGACUUCAGAAUAAAUGGAAUAUUCAGGCAGUAUACCGCCACGGUUUUGGAUGUCAUCUAAAUCCUCACGCUCAGGGGGGUUUGAGUUUCCUGGCAGUUCUCCAUGAUUUUGAGCCGGCACUUCUGGCACCUCAGGUCUGGUGGCAUCCGGAUUUUCAAGCUGUUGGCCUCCAGAGUUUUGGGAAGCUUCCAACUCCUCAUACUUGGAAAUAACUUGUUGAAGUUCUUCAUGAAGAUAUAGAGCCUCAAAGAGCAUACUUUCAUCAUCAGUAGUGGUUUCUAUAAUCCUCUGAAUAACAGGCUGAGACUCCUUGCACUUUUCCAGCAUGUUCAUCGUUAGUUCUUCCUGCAAUCAAGCAAGCAUUUCCACCAAGUUACAUAUCAUCUUCCGCUCACAAGUUGAUCUUUGGAUUAGGUAAAAUAUGGAAAAAUAAUCGUAGGAAAGGUCAAAUACUAUCUAGAAGAAUUAUUAUCAUGCAAUAUAUAAUCAUAUAGGAUAACAGCGUACAGGCAAACCUAGCCAUAGAAGAAUUACAACCGCUCUCCCUUACGGUCUGUGCUCAUAGUCAUAAUGCACGGAACAUGAAAAUUCUUCAACCUGCCCUAUAUUAUUUCUAUCUUCCUUUUAUAUACAAGGGAUAUGUAUUCUUCAAUAAUAUUUUAUAAAAGUAUUUUGAAUAUCCGGAUGCUUUAGAAUAGAAAUUUGUCAGUGAUAAGGAAGCAAAGCACUUAGUUCUAUCUCAGUAUUGAUUCCAGAGAAAUUUACACACACACACACACACACAUAUAUAUAUAUAGGAAUUAGUAUUGAUUUCCACAGAGAAGUCAGAAACACACCUUCAAAGGUUUCGGAUCUGUUUCACUAUUCAAAAUACUAGACAGCAACUCCAGGCUAUUGCGAGCUACAACAAGACAUUCUUUUUUUUCCUCGACUGAUAGGUAGUUAUAGCGAAAUUCACGGUCACUUGCAUCAUGAAAUCCUGUGACUGGUACAGGGUAUCUUUCCGGGGGAGGCAUAGGCUCUUCCAUGUAUGAUUCCAAGGUAGAUUGCAACGAGGGCGAAGUCCCUUCUGGUGCCACUGGACGUGCUCCUCUUUCUCUCAAUGUCUGUAUAACACCCAGAGAUAUAAUAAGGACAUCAAAUAUUACUUCAAUGGAUGAAAACCAAGAUUACUACAAGAAGAAAAUUCCAUGGUCCACAGAAGACAGGCCAGAAA
rnacentral:lncRNA from 1 species